rnacentral:rRNA from 1 species
GUCCACGUCCUAAACGAUGAGAACUAGCCGUUGGGGGAGAUUAAUCCUCUAGUGGCGUAGCUAACGCGAUAAGUUCUCCGCCUGGGGAGUACGGCCGCAAGGUUAAAACUCAAAGGAAUUGACGGGGGCCCGCACAAGCGGUGGAGCAUGUGGUUCAAUUCGAUGCAACGCGAAUAACCUUACCUGCCCUUGACAUCCUCGGAACUUGUCAGAGAUGACUUGGUGCCUUCGGGAACCGAGAGACAGGUGCUGCAUGGCUGUCGU